rnacentral:lncRNA from 1 species
ACUUAUUUAUUUGAUUUCAGUAUCUAAUCACAAAAUAAUUACCUAACCCAGCCCCAAGGUAUCUUGGCAAUGUUGUUCCAGACACACUCCAGCACAGACAAAAGAUCCCGCGGGAAGACAUCAAUCAUCUUCCCAUACAAAUGAAACUGGUCCACAGAAAUGAACGGCGCGGCCCCACCCCAGCUCUUUCAAAAUUCAGCUGUCUCAGCCAGAGCUGCAGGCCAGCUCCCAGACACAUCCCUGCCCACUGCUUUGCACAGGAGCUAGGUCAAACCUCAAGUGCAAGGAUUACAUAUGGCAGCAUGACCCAAUUCAUUCAGGCUCUGCUGGACAAAAUCUAUAAAGUGGGAAGUUUAUUGGCAGUGUCUCACUAGUUCUCUCUAAUUUGCCAAAGAGGCUGCUGGGCAGGAAACUCUGUUAACCUCAAUCAUGGUUGGGACAGAUUAAAAGGAGCUGGACUCAAACACAGGCAGGUCUCCAGCCACCUUCUUAAUAAAGAAAAAAAACCCCACAGCACUAAUUGGAGCAAUUGGAUGGGGUGGGAACUUUGGCCAGAGCCUGGGGGCGGAGGCUGGACAGGAUGGGAUGGACAGUGCUCAUGGCAGGGAGGGAGGGAGGGAUGUCACUGCACUCCUGGUCCCACUCACACACUGCACUCUCUGCACAGCCCACGUGUCCCAGCACCUCUGCCCACCCUCCCUCUCAUUUCUGCACACAGCACUGCCUCUGCCCACGCUGCCAGCUCACGGGGGACACACGGUGACACUGGUGGCUGCUGGGACCUCAGCCCUGUGCUGCCCAGCUUCAUGAGGACACACAGGGCAAUCCAGGUUUGGCUGCCACAGGCCAGGUGUACCAAACCAGAAGCACUGCAGGCAGAAACCUGCCUGAAGGUUCCCACCUACCCUUCUGCUCUUAGACAACAGCACAACACAUCCUGUUCUCCCAUUGUCACCUCCUGUAAACACCAAAGCAUAGCUAAUCCCACCUGAGAAAGGGUGGAAAUCUCCUCUUAAACAUAUAUUUUUAUCCCAAGUGAAUAAUUUCCAAACAGCACAAAAGCAGUGUUUUGUCCAACCCUUGCACAUCCCAGCUGUGGUAGGAUUUUCAUCCUGGGGGAAAUGGCUUGUCCAGCCUCGGCCAGUUUGUGAAUGGGCUCAGGUACCAGGCAGGUAGCUGAUAUCCCUGUUGGAAGAAAUUUUUAAAAAUUGUCCUAACAGAGAACCAUCUUCCCCCAUUGCAUU